CUUCUCUAUUCCUCCUCUUGAUCUUCUCUUGCUUUGGAGUAUCCAAGGUACUUGAAGAAGGUGAAACAUAUCAGCUAUCGAAGUUGCUUGCAGGCUAGUACCUCCAAAUCCCUGAUCUCCGUCUUUGUUUGCAUGGAUUUUCUUAUAGAGGCCAGACAACUUCAUGUGAUUGUGAACAAUCUGAAGAACACCUUCUCCAACCAUUGGAUCAGAGGAGAUCAAGAUCAAAUUUAUUUGGUAAGGAUC
rnacentral:lncRNA from 1 species